rnacentral:rRNA from 1 species
GAUAUUGGACAAUGGGGGCAACGCUGAUCCAGCCAUGCCGCGUGUGUGAAGAAGGNUUNNGGAUUNUNAAGCACUUUAAGAUGNNNNNAAGGGCUUUAGGUUAAUACCCUGAAGUUUUGUCGUUAACAACAGAAUAAGCACCGGCUAACUCUGAUCCACCAGCAGCGGUAAUACAGAGGGUGCAUGCGUUAAUCUGAAUUACUGGGCGUAAAGCGCGCGUAGGUGAUUCAGUAAGAUGUGUGUGAAAUCCCCGGGCUUAACCUGGGAACUGCUUUCAUAACUACUGAGCUAGAGUACGGUAGAUGGUAGUGGAAUUUCCUGUGUAGCGGUGAAAUGCGUAGAUAUAGGAAGGAACAUCAGUGGCGAAGGCGUCUACCUGGACUGAUACUGACACUAAGGUGCGAAAGCGUGGGGAGCAAACA